UACAGAGGGGGCUAGCGUUGUUCGGAAUCACUGGGCGUAAAGGGAGCGUAGGCGGGAGCUCAAGUUGGGUGUUUAAUUCCGGGGCCCAACCCCGGGCGUGCACUCAAAACUGGGCUUCUUGAAUAGGGGAGAGGUCGAUGGAAUUGGAGGUGUAGCGGUGGAAUGCGUAGAGAUCUCCAAGAACACCGGUUGCGAAGGCGGUCGACUGGACCCAUAUUGACGCUGAGGCUCGAAAGCGUGGGGAGCAAACAGG
rnacentral:rRNA from 1 species